rnacentral:rRNA from 1 species
GACGUAGGGCGCAAGCGUUGUCCGGAUUUAUUGGGCGUAAAGAGCUCGUAGGCGGCUUGCCACGUCUGCCGUGAAAACCAGCAGCUUAACUGUUAGCUUGCGGUUGAUACGGGUUGGCUGGAGUUCGGUAGGGGAGACUGGAAUUCCUGGUGUAGCGGUGAAAUGCGCAGAUAUCAGGAGGAACACCGGUGGCGAAGGCGGGUCUCUGGGCCGAUACUGACGCUGAGGAGCGAAAGCGUGGGGAGCGAACAGG